rnacentral:rRNA from 1 species
GUAGGUGGCAAGCGUUGUCCGGAAUUAUUGGGCGUAAAGCGCGCGCAGGCGGUCCUUUAAGUCUGAUGUGAAAGCCCACGGCUCAACCGUGGAGGGUCAUUGGAAACUGGGGGACUUGAGUACAGAAGAGGAAAGCGGAAUUCCAAGUGUAGCGGUGAAAUGCGUAGAGAUUUGGAGGAACACCAGUGGCGAAGGCGGCUUUCUGGUCUGUAACUGACGCUGAGGCGCGAAAGCGUGGGGAGCAAACAGGGAUUAGAUACCCUGGUAGUCCACGCCGUAAAUGAUGAGUGCUAAGUGUUAGGGGGUUUCCGCCCCCUUAGUGCUGCAGCUAACGCAUUAAGCACUCCGCCUGGGGAGUACGGCCGCAAGGCUG